ACCUCUUAAAUCAGUAUUAUUGUCUCUCCUUUUCAUUGUAUACAUCUUAAUUUAUUCAUUUCCCCACCUCCCACCUACUAAUUGUUCUUGAACAAAAUUUUCCUGACCUGCAGAAUUCUUCAACCUUGGUGUUGGAGAAAAUUAAGCUGUGCAGGUCAGUCGUAUGAAAUUUCCCUUUCCUGACUCUAAGUGGCAUGUGAAGAAGCCAGAAAUAAUCUGACUCUACCUCAAUAAAUGGA